rnacentral:rRNA from 1 species
CCAGCAGCCGCGGUAAUACUCCUACGGGAGGCAGCAGUGGGGAAUCUUAGACAAUGGGCGCAAGCCUGAUCUAGCCAUGCCGCGUGAGCGAUGAAGGCCUUAGGGUUGUAAAGCUCUUUCAGUGGGGAAGAUGAUGACUGUACCCACAGAAGAAGCCCCGGCUAACUCCGUGCCAGCAGCCG